GACGAACGCUGGCGGCGUGCCUAAUACAUGCAAGUCGAGCGAAGUUUUUCUGGUGCUUGCACUAGAAAAACUUAGCGGCGAACGGGUGAGUAACACGUAAAGAACCUGCCUCAUAGACGGGGACAACUAUUGGAAACGAUAGCUAAUACCGGAUAACAGCAUAAAUCGCAUGAUAUAUGUUUAAAAGUUGGUUUCGGCUAACACUAUGAGAUGGCUUUGCGGUGCAUUAGCUAGUUGGUGGGGUAAAGGCCUACCAAGGCGACGAUACAUAGCCGACCUGAGAGGGUGAUCGGCCACACUGGGACUGAGACACGGCCCAGACUCCUACGGGAGGCAGCAGUAGGGAAUCUUCGGCAAUGGGGGCAACCCUGACCGAGCAACGCCGCGUGAAUGAAGAAGGUUUUCGGAUCGUAAAGCUCUGUUGUAAGAGAAGAACGAGUGUGAGAGUGGAAAGUUCACACUGUGACGGUAACUUACCAGAAAGGGACGGCUAACUACGUGCCAGCAGCCGCGGUAAUACGUAGGUCCCGAGCGUUAUCCGGAUUUAUUGGGCGUAAAGCGAGCGCAGGCGGUUAGAUAAGUCUGAAGUUAAAGGCUGUGGCUUAACCAUAGUACGCUUUGGAAACUGUUUAACUUGAGUGCAGAAGGGGAGAGUGGAAUUCCAUGUGUAGCGGUGAAAUGCGUAGAUAUAUGGAGGAACACCGGUGGCGAAAGCGGCUCUCUGGUCUGUAACUGACGCUGAGGCUCGAAAGCGUGGGGAGCAAACAGG
rnacentral:rRNA from 1 species